GAGGGUAUAUCUCAAGUGGUAGAGCGCAUGCUUAGCAUGUAUGCAUGAGGUCCUGGGUUCAAUUCCCUGUACCUCUG
rnacentral:tRNA from 1 species